rnacentral:tRNA from 1 species
GGAGGUCCGUGGCUCCGUGGCCGAGCAUCUGUGUGGCAUGUAGAAGGUCCCAGAUUCAAUUCCUGGCAUCUCCA